GACGGAGGAUGCAAGCGUUAUCCGGAAUUAUUGGGCGUAAAGCGUCCGCAGGUGGACAUACAAGUCUGCUGUCAAAGUGCAGAGCUUAGCUCUGUAAAGGCGGUGGAAACUGUAGGUCUUGAGUAUGGUAGGGGUAGAGGGAAUUCCCGGUGUAGCGGUGAAAUGCGUAGAUAUCGGGAAGAACAUCGGUGGCGAAAGCGCUCUACUGGACCGCAACUGACACUCAGGGACGAAAGCUAGGGGAGCGAAUGGG
rnacentral:rRNA from 1 species